UGGGGAAUCUUGCGCAAUGCGCGAAAGCGUGACGCAGCAACGCCGCGUGGGGGACGACGGCCUUCGGGUUGUAAACCCCUUUCAGGAGGGACAAAGUGUGGGCGGUGAAUAGCCGUUCCACAUGACGGUACCUCCACAAGAAGCUCCGGCUAACUACGUGCCAGAAGCCGCGGUAAUACGUAGGGAGCAAGCGUUGUCCGGAAUCGUUGGGCGUAAAGAGCGCGUAGGCGGUCCGGUAAGUCGGUUGUGAAAACUGGGGGCUCAACCCUCAGAGGCCGACCGAUACUGUCGGGCUAGAGUCCGGAAGAGGCGAGUGGAAUUCCUGGUGUAGCGGUGAAAUGCGCAGAUAUCAGGAGGAACACCAAUGGCGAAGGCAGCUCGCUGGGACGGUACUGACGCUGAGGCGCGAAAGCGUGGGGAGCAAAC
rnacentral:rRNA from 1 species